ACAAGAACUUUACCCCACUUAUGUAUGAUGGUUGUUUUUUAUAUAUAUUUAUAUUUUAAUUUAAUAGUCUAGAUAGUUCAUGUGUAAGCAUGUAUGAUUUGUUUUGUACAUAUGGGUUCGUAGUUUAGGGCGUAAAAUGGAAGAUAAACAUGAGAAACCAAAACGUGGGCCUACGACUAGGGCUGUUCAUGAGCCGGGCGGAGCUGAAUUAGGGCAAGCUCGGGCUCGACUCGAUUAUAAACAGAGCCGGCUCAGCUUGGCUCGGAUUCAAAACCGAGCUGAAAAUCAAAGCUCCGGCUCGGCUUGGUUUUAAACCGAGCUGGCUCAGCUCGGCUUGGUUUGGCUCGGUUUUAAAAUUAAAAAUUAGUACAUAGCUCUAAAAAUUAAGUAGUCUAAAAUAUUAUUCAGUACUUCAAAAGAACAUAUCCAAAAUAAGUUUAACCUAAUACAUCACAAGCCAAAAUCAAGUUAAACAAACACAAAAUAAGUUUUAAAUUAACUUCAAAAAAAUACAAUAUUAGUUCAUUAGCAUAGUAAUCAAUCUUCAAAUAAGUUACAGAUAUCAAAUUACAAACUUAAAUACAUGUAAAUAAUAAUUAGUUUUUGUAAUAUAUUAUAAUGUAUAUAAAAUAAAAUAUAUUACAAGUAAAAUGAUCCGAGCUAAGUCGAGCUAACAAAUGAGCCAAUCCUGCUCGUUACGAGCCGAGUCGAGCUAGACUCACUUUCUAACCGAGCCGAGCUGGCUCGGCUUACUUUCAAACCGAGCUAUAUCAAUUGAGUUUUUUCGAGCUAAAUCCAAUCGACCUUCGAGCCACGAGCUUUCUGAACAGCCCUACAUGCGACUUGCUCAAAGAAAGAUAUUGAUUAUAACAUUGAAUAAAACCAUAAUAUGCAACCGAUUGGAAAAAAAUGUGAAUGAUUACAUUACAUGGUUAGCAGUAAAAUAAAAGACCAAAUUUUCAUAUUAUAUUCAGCAAGAUAAGUUUCAUGAUAGAAAAUGGGAAGAUUUAUGGAUAGAUAUUAAGAUAUUAUGUUUUUUUAAUUUAUUUAUUAUUUUUGUAAUCUUCAAAUAUAAACUUUGCAUUUCACUAAAAAAACUUGCCAAGUUACAUCAAAACAGAAGGUAGACGAGAACUAAGUUGCGCCGCCAUUCCUUUCUGAAUUGCAAACCCUAACCUUCCAAAGACAAACCCCUACCCCGGGGCUGAACAAUUGUGAUUUGUUAACUUCUGUUAUUUAUAAAUAUGCAAGAAACAAUGGAAUAUUGUAUAGACUAUCGUUGUAUGUUUGUAACUAUUAGUUAAUAACAAUUUGUUUAUUUAUGUGAGAACAAAACUGAAAAGGCACGAGUAAGUGCAAAGAAGAACAAAUACCCGACUCGCUCAGGACACAAAGGGUUUGCGGUUUGGAGCCCUAAUGUUGAACUUGCAGAAGAUGCGUACACAGAAUCUGUUAAACUAGCAGGUGGUACUUAUUGGUCUGGGAUGGAAGAUCUACCAAGUAUGUAGCUUGGACCUAAGCAUGGAGGCCGAUCACGACAACCUCUUUUAUAUGGAUUUAUUCUCUUGUAUUUUGUAAGAUUAAGUGAUCUUUUACAAUUGAUUUGUUUUUCUAAUAAUGCAGUGUAUGCAAUAAGAUGGAUCUUGGGAGUAUGGAUACCUGGUUAUUUGGUUUAUGCUCGACUUUAUUUUAGACAUGCGAUUUCGUUUUCCAAAUGAUAUAUGGAACGGCAUAACAAGCGUCCCAAAGGAGGAUCACAUCUUAGUGAUGUUAUUGUCACAGGUUGGGAAAGGAGUAGAGGAGUACUCGGCUACGGAUAUGGAUGACAUUCGCGAAGAUUGGUCGACUUAUGCGGUUACCUCUAUUUUUAAGUGACAAAUUGUAUUUUAGGCGUUCACGAUAUAUUGACAAACAAUUCUAUUUUUUUUGUUAACGUUAAAAUAUUUGUAGUAUACUAGACAGAUGAUUAUGUAAUGGAUUGUUUUGAUAUAUAUAUAUAUAUAUGUGUAUUUGUUUUAUGAAAAAGAUUUAUUGUUUUUGUUAUUAUACAUGUAUCUAGGGCAAAUUAGUAAUUUUAUAAAAAAAAUUAUACAGUUAAAAGCAUGACACGCGUAAAUGAAUGUCAUACGUAUGUGUCAUAAAUGCUUGUCAUGAACGUGUGUCAUUAAAAAGUGUCAUAAAAUGAGUGUCAUGAAUGUGUGUCAUUAAAAUGUGUCAUAAAAUGAGUGUCAUGAAUGUGUGUCAUGAAUGUGUGUCAUUAAAUGUGUGUCAUUAAAUGUGUGUCAUGAAUGCGUGUCAUUAAAUGUGUGUCAUAAAAACAUGACACACAAAUGCAUGUCAUGUUAAUUUUAUGACUCCUCAAUCAACGACUCGCAUUUGCGUGUCAUAAAGACCCUUUUAUGACACGCAAUGCAUGUCAAGAAAGGUGCUUUUUCUAGUAGUGAUAAUGGAAUUACAUGUCUAUAAGUUUUCCAAGGUUAUAUGAUUACGAUAGUUUAAAAUAAAUUAUAAGUCAUAUAUUUAUAAUUUUAUUUAGUAGAAUCUUCCAUCGGUAUUAUACCUAUACAUUUGUGAAAGAUACA